CCAUCCCGCGCCUUCCAGGCCCAGCACCGAAUCUCGCCGACCACCGUUUCGGAAACCCUCCUCUAGUCACGUCCGCGCCGUCUCCGCCACCGCCCACUCCGUCACUUAAUCGCGCCACCACUCAUCCUAACCCGCCGUCCCCCGUCCUCCAAAUCUCGACGCAGCGCACCCGGUCACCCUCCCAAGCGCCGGAGGGGGAGAAGCUCUAGCGAGAGGAGCCCGCUGACUCCGGAAGUGGCAUCAGGAGCCUCCUCUCCCGCCACCGCCGACCAAAAGCGACACAAGGGGCUCACUAAUCCAAAAGCCCCGCACAGCAUCAGCAACAACGACAAAGUCUUUCGGUCCCGAGCAAGUUGGGGUAGGCUAGAAUUGAAACUUAAUAGGAGCUACUAAUCAAGAAUCACGUGAUUCCACAAGCCCCGCACGAUGCAGAAUUUCAUCGAUAUUUACGGAGAUAUUCAACAAAAGCGUAGGAUUGUCAAAACUGUUUUGUACUGAUAAAAGUUGGAGACGUGCACCAAUGCGGAUUGAUCCUUACAUAUGAUGAUAGAUUUUGCUAUGUCUUAACUGUUAGAUGUAUAUGUACUGUUGGUAUUUUUCCUUUUGUAUUAGGGGGUUUUGUAUGUAUAUUUUCCCUUUCCUGUACCUGUAUUGGGCCUAGUGCCCCUAUUAUGAAUACAAGUGUUAUUUCUAACA